rnacentral:lncRNA from 1 species
UUAAUUACACAAAAUGAAAAUAUGUUUGUUGAUAUUAUAAAAUUUUACAAAAACCAAAUCUUUGCAAUAACAUACUAAAACCCAAACAUGGGGAAAAAGAAAAACUACAGAACCCACUCCUUCCAUUCCCCAUCUAUUUAUUUCUCAAACUUCUACCGUUCACACAUUUAACCAAACACACAAACUUUAAACCUUUUUAUUAUUUCAUCCCAUUCUACACCUUCUCUUAGGGUUUUGCACCCUCUACCACUUCACCAGCGUAGCUGCAGCACUUGUGCCCACAUCGACCAUAUCGGCAACCUCUGCCGUAGCCACCACGGCCACCACCAUAGCCUCCACGGCCACCGUAAUGACCACGACCAUACCCACCACGACCACCGCCAUAGCCUCUGUCGUACCCACCGCCAUAGCCUCUGUCGUACCCUCCACCAUAGCCUCUGUCGUACCCUCCACCAUAGCCUCUGUCGUACCCACCUCUUCCAUACUUGGCAUCCUCUACGCCAUUGGUUUCCACUGUGACCUCUGCAAUGUUAUAUUUAAAAUUAAUCCUUAACUUUACGAAAAUGUUAUAUAAAAUCAAAAUCUGUAUAUAAAGAUGUUAAAUAAUGAGUAUAUAUAUUUUACAUGAGUUUUUUCUUAAUAUUCGUGUCUGUUCGGAGUUAGUUUAUGUGUACCUAAACUAAGUUUACCGAACAAAUUUGGAUGUGAAAGGAACAAGCACAAAGAAUAUUAAAUCAUCAAUAGAAGACUACUAUGCAUUCAACUUCUUAGAUGACUUAAAAUUUAUUAUAACAUAAAACUCACCGUUGUCAGUCUUGGAGGAGGUCUCCGCAAGGUCCCUUGCAGCCACUUCAGAGGAGAGGAGAAGAACGAAGGCGAGAAGAAGGCCAAGGAAAACAAAGGCUUUGGAACUCAUAUUUGUGUGUAUUGUAAGAGAUUGGUUUUGGGGGAGAGGGAUGAGAAAGAUUUGCAUUCUUAUGGAGGUAUUUAUAGGUCCAUAAAAGGGAAAGUGAGAUGAGAAUUGAGACAAUGGCAAUGGCAAUUAAAGACUGGCCCAUAAUUUGGUUGGGUGUUAGAUGAACUGAUUGAGAAGUAUUUUGAAAUGAAGAAGAAAAUUUGAGUCAGCUCUCUUCAAAAAUCUUUAUCUUUUAAAUGAUUUGUAAUCAGUCAAACUCUUUAGUAGUGUGACUGUAUCAAACUCCAAGAGCUUCUUCUAUCCAAUUAUCAAUAAUAAUAAUAUAAUUAUGGAAAAACAAUUUGUAGCAUGCUUUCAUUUUCUAUUUCCUAAACUUGGUAAACAAAGUUAUUUGUCUUAAAAAUUAAAACUAAUAUUUUUCAUAAAUUACUUACCAAAAUCUAUCAAGUAAAUACUGUAGGUUAGUUAUUUAGGGUUCAUUUUUUUCACCUUGUGUUUUUUCUUAAAAAAAUUGAUGUUUAAUUAGAUUUUUUUUUCUAUUAAUGAUUGAUUUGUUUUGGUAUAUCAUUUUCGAUCCAAUAUAACAAAAUGAACAAAAUAUGUGACAUUUUUUAAAAUAAAAAAUAAAUUAAAAUAUUUACAAAGUAUAACAAAAUUUUAAAUUCUAUCAAUGAUAGAAACUGAUAUGCUACUAUCACUGUCUAUCCAUCUCACUAAUAGAAACAUGUUAAUGUCUAUCAAUGUCUAUUAUUGAUAAAAUAUGAAAAUCGUACUAUUUGUUGUAAAUAUUUUGUCAAAUUUACUAUUUUUUACCAUUCUCUCUUAAAAAAAUAUUUAUAAAUACAGUAAAUUUCAAAAUCUAUCAAAGAAAUUGGUAGAAAUAUUUAUAUAGUAUAUGUGAUAUAAAUAAACACUAAUAUGAUUGAAGUUUUUUGUGUCUACUAAUAUCUAUAUUUUUUAUAUUUCUAAAUUUGGCUAUAUUUAUAAAUAUUUUCAAGAAUUUUAGUUUAUACAUUUUCAAAUGGUUUAUCUUAUAUAAAAUUUGAAUAGACAAACAUAAAAUAAAGCACAGCACAAUAAAGAAAACGUUAUUGAAUAGCUUCCACUGAACCCAAUUUGCAAAUAUCAUUGAUAUUUGUAAUAUUCUUUUAAUGCUAUGUUUUCUUACAAGAUAACGAGAGGAUAUUUUUAUAUUUAUGUGAAACUCAUCAACUUAUAUGAAAAUGUCAAAACAACAUUUAUUUAUUUCAUACUCUUCAACUUGGUGUCUGUCAUUCUUUAAAUAGAAUUUUCAAAGCUCAUAAAAAUCUCUCGAAAUUUGAGAAGAUAUCAACGCCCUUACGGAUCAUUGGACAAGCAUAUCUCCUCUCUUCAAAAAUUAUUUUGAUAGCUCUAUUGCUCUAAGUAUUUAUGCUUUUGUUUAAUUGUACUGACUUUGGGUCUUUCUUGGACUUUCCUCUAACCCUUGCUUUUGUUUUCCCUUCUUUCCAUAUUAUCUAUUAUAUAUUAAUGAAGCAUGAAUGAUGAUGAUGCUACGAAGGUACUGUUCACAUAGUGGAGAUGAUGAGAUGUCUUAGUGCAUCUAUUGACCUAUCUCGUAUCUUUUUUAAAAAAAAAAAAACAUUUAUAUAUUUCGUAUACUAUAAUUUUGCAAUAAAUUUAAGAGACCUUUAUAAAACUAACUCCCAAACUAUGCGGGGUAGUGAUAGUUGUGAAACCUAUUUCUAAUUUGAGUAUAGAAAGUAAAAUUUGGUUAAGUAUUUUGAAAAUUUGUAUUUUGGAUAAGAGGAGACAUUUUGAAAUAAGACUUUGCGAUAAGAAGUAUGUGUUUGAAUCAAUCCACAGAAAUGAUUAAGUGAUAAAAUCUUUUAUGGUUAAGUAUAAGUUUUGUUAUUAAGAAGUUAAUUCACGAGGGAGUUUUGAGAAAAGAAUGAUUUGCAAUAGGACCUAUAAACACUUUCAAUAGAAAGAGUCUUCACGAGAAAAUGUUGAAGUUAUUCGUAGAAUGGAAAUAGGCGAGAAGUAAGGUCUGGCAAAGAAAACGUCUAUCUGAUUUGACAGGGGUUAAUGUGUAAGAUUAAAGGUUUAAGCAUGACUGAGUUAAAUAUUAAAUUUACAUGUGUAAAGUUUUAAUCAGGAACCAGCGAACUUAAAAGAGUUUAAGCAUGACUAAGUUAGUUUAAGAGCUAUGUAAAUAAAGGACCUAGUCAUUAAGUAAGCACAUAGAUUUUAUUAAAAAAAAAUUACUAAAAUGUUGUUGUUUUGCUUGACGAGAAAAAGAAAAAAAAAAACAAAGUGUUAAGUGCUACGAUGUGUUUCACAAGAAGGCUCCACAAAAGAAAAGGAAGAGAAGGAUUUUUGAUAAAGUGUGGGAAUGUUUUCUCUUAAAUGAAUUAAUUAUGUUAAAAAAUUUAUUAUAAUUUCUCUUUACUUAUUUAAAAGAAGAAUUCCAAUGAUAAGUGUUUCAAAUGAAAUUUAUAUCAAAAGUCUAUAUGUUUUCAAGUAUGAUUUAUAAUGUUAAAGUUGUUUUCUUGAGAUGAUGCUAACUUUUAUGUGCACAUAAAGAGUCAAGGUUACUAUGGGGUGUACAAGGCUACAUGGUGAUAAGAAGCUGGUUUAUGCUUUGAAAUGAGCGUAUAAAGCUUAGUUGGCCUGAGCAACAAGGACAAUCUGUAUGUUUUCGGAUGUUGUUGAUACAACAGUCUAAAUGUAGGGUAAUGAGACCAAACGUAGAAAACGAUUCGAGAUCCUUGAUGAAAAGUAUAAUUGACUAAUGGGUGUUAUUGUGAAAUGAAUCUUGAUGUGAUUCACAAGUUGAACUAAUUUUAUUGUAAAAAUGAUUAUAUACGUUUUGAUAUGUUUUGCCAAAUGAAGUGUUUAUUGAUAAACUGAUUUGUGUUGAAAUUUAUGAUUUGACGAAAAACAUUUUCAAAGAGCAUUGCAAAAAGGAUUUCAUUAAAACCUCACUAAAUCUUUUAAACUUGCAUUUUAAAUUUUAUCUUCCAAGAUUUAGCAUUUAGGCCAAUUAAAGAAGAAGGUUGAAGGGCUUGCGGCAAGUUGAGAAAGCCACGAGGCGUUAAAGAGCUUUGAUCGAUAAAUGUUAAUUAUUUGAUCAAAAUGUUGUAAUUGUUUGUUCAUACCAAACGCCUGUUAUUAAUAUAUUAAAGUGUGUGUUUCAGGUUAUGUUACUUAUUGUACUUGGCAUUUAAAGUUGAUUUUCGCUACGUUUUGAGUUUCACUUCAUAGUUUGAAAGGAGUUGAGAAUAAGCUAGGCAGUAAGACUAAUUGUAAAGUUUAAUUAAAGUUAAAUCUUGUAAAGUUUAAAGUUAAAUCAUGUAAAGUUUAAAGUUAAAUCACGUCCUAUCCGCACAACUUCCUGCAAUUUUGUUGUCGGAACAGAGUGUGACAAUAGCGAUGCACCUAAACUAAAUUUACUAUUUUGGUUGUUACAGUGGUCGAUAUGAAUAUAGAUCAAUGGAAAGAAGAAUAUCAACAUCCUCUCUAAAACUUAAAUAUAUUAAUCUAAAAUUUUCAUUUUUAUGUUAAAUUGAGAAGAAGAAGAAAAAAAAAAGAAACGAAAGCAAAAGUAUUAGGUAAUAAAAAUAUUUUGAAGAUGAAAAAAAUUUGAAGUACUCUUGAAAGCAUGAAUAAAUAAAAUUUGGUUCCACUUGUAUUGUUGAAUAUCCUCUUGUUCCUUUCCAACCAAAUGUUCCAGAUAACCCCAUCAACAGACUGUAAUUGUUGAUUUCAUAACACACAAACUUGAAAUCAACAAUUAAGUAAUAGAAGACCGUAAAGAUCGACACACAGAUAAAACAUGGUUCACUAACAGUGUAUUAGCAACUACAUCCACAAACAAAGGAAGAAAAAAUAUGGUUAGGAGAGAGUGUUUUCUAAUACAAAUGUAGCUGGAUAGAGUGCAUCCAAUGAAAUUCUCAUUGUUUUGGUUGCAGACCGAGCACGCCAACUUGGAUUAAGGCAGUGAUUUGGGAGGCUAUUUAGCAGAAUAAUCUCCACAGUGUUUCCCGGGUAGAAUUUAGCAUAAGAAAAAAUUUCACUUCUUAAUUAGAAUGGGAGAUUUUUACAAAUUAUUAAAGAUUGUCAGGACUAAGAUUUUCUAUCUUUGGAAGAUCAUUUCCUCUUUCCUCGUUAGGCUUAGGGAAAGAUGCUUUGACAUUAUCCCAUAUGCUAAUGUCCCUAUCCCGGAGGGGUCCUCUAGGCUUAAUAUCCCAACCAAUCUUUAAUCGAGCUAUUUGCGCCAAGGGAUGAAGCAAAAAGCUUGGGGAAGCCAAAGGAGAGAGGACCGUGUUGGUUCAAUUUUUUAUGCCAAAAAAGAAAGAGAAAGAAGAGAGCAAGAUGAUUAUACUAAAAAAGAAUUGCCACAGUUUCUAUUUUAAUUAUUAUCCCUGCAUAACUCUUUCACAUAUAUAUUUAUAUCCAUAGGUUGUACACAAGUGAAACUAUCCUCAAAUUUAUAUGCUAUUUAUAUAAUAUAUAUAUAUAAAACUAUAAUAGUAUACUAUAGUCAUGUAGUUCAAACUUCGUUUAUUACCUUUUUAUUUUAAAAAUAUUUUAUUAAUAGUAAAGUUCCUGUGAACAUAAAUUUCUCCAUCAUCUGCUCCUACUUGUAUAUAUCAUCUUUAAUUAAUUAUCAUUUAGUGUCCACAUGUACAGUUUAAUUCCCAAAUAGUGUUCAACAAAACGAAGUAUUAGAAAUUUUCACUUUAUUUUUCUCAUUCAUAACUCCUAAUAAGUAGAUAGGUCCACAUGUUUCAUGUUACAUCUAUUUAUUUUAAUGCGUAUUAAUUUUUGGUGGUGAAAUUCAAACUUUUAAUUAAAUUAAUUAUCUCAGUCAUGUUUAUUUACUAUAAAUAUCACUAUAAAGAUCAAUUGAGCUAAGCAUGCUUAAUAAAGUUUAAAAAAUUACUCUUCUAUACACGUGUGGCAAUAAAGAUAACAAAAUAUCACUAAAUGUAAAUAAAUGUUUGGCAAGUUUUAUUAUUUUUAUAACUUCUUUAGAAAUAUUCAAUCGAUAUGGAUAUGAUAUUGAUUUUUGUUUUAUAAAUUCGUGAAAUUGAGAAAUAUAAGCAUUUUCAUCAACAUUCGCAUCCUAGACAUUACUCCUAUAUGACUAAUGAAUUUGAACUAGCGAAACUAAUUCAUAAAACUAAAUGAACAAAUUUUAAAAAAUUUUAUUUAAAAUAACAAAUAUGAUAGAACGUAUAAUAUUUACAAAUGUAACGACAAAAUUUUACUUUCAGAUCGUGAAGGUUGUGGUAAACCUGAUAGACAUCAUAUAUUAUUUUAGGCGUUAUAUUGUAUUGAUAAUAAAAGUAAAAUUUUAUUCUAUUUAUAAAUAUUUAUAAUAAUUUUUUAUAUUCAAAACAAUUCAAAAAAUUAAGUUGGCCUAAAAUUUCUAUUUUCAAUAUUUAUGGCCAUAACAGUUAUUUAAGUGAUCGGACUCCAUGAGUUCGUAAAAUUUAAAUGAGUUAGGCAAACAAGUAUUAAUUUGUAAUUUAUUUCUUUUUCUUAAUUGCAUUUUCUUGUUUUUGACAUGUUUAUUUAUUUUUAAUCUAAGUUGAAUGAUAUGGUAUUAAAUUUGUCUUUCAUCCGUUAAUUUUUCUUCUUUUCUUAACAUACCUUCCAGUUAUUGUCGCUCCAAUCAUCCUCAUCUUUGUCUCCGUCCCUAGGCCCAGGCAUCUCCCUCAAUGCAUCCUCUAUCACAAAUAGGUUCCAAAAUAAUUACAGUCUAAGAAAAGUUCAUAGAGUAACAACAAUUUCUCUCUCAAACAUUAAACCAAUAUAUAUAUAUAUAUAUAUAUACUAGAAAGAACACGUGUUUUGUACGUGAAAAGUGUAAUUUUAAAUCUUAAAUUUAAUUUUAGUGUCACAAGUUAAAAACUAAUUAUAAACAAUAUCUUUAGUUUAUAUAUAUAUAUAUGCUAUUAUUAAAUUCAAAUCUACCAAUAAUAAGGUGACCAGAUUGGACAAUUAGAUCUUAACCAGAGAAUAUAAAGGACCUAUAUAACAAUAUAAGUUUAUGAAAUAUACAACUAUAUAACUACAAAAUAUUAUAUAAACAAGGAGAGAAAAUUAGUGAGCAACCAUAAUAUAACAUGUACUUUUUUUUCAUUGAAAAUAAAUUAAAAAAUAAGAAAAUAAAAAGAGAUCAAAUGAUGGAUAAAGAAGUCUCUCCAAUCCAAAAUAUAAUGCUAAAAGACGACCAAAAUUUAAUUAAUAGAUUAUAGAUACAUAAAUGAAAUAAAAUUAUAGUGCAUAGUAAGUAUUGUAGAAAUAUUGCUUAUUCGAGACAUAGUUGACAUCGUUGGAGGCCUCCUUGGAUUCUCUAUACAUUUGUUGAAAAACACAGAAAUUCUCCUUGUUUUACACCAAAUAAUUAUUCUCCUAUACGUGGAUUUAUUUGAUUGCUCACAAUUUCAUUAGAUUUUAUUUUAUAUAAAAAUACACAGAAAGAAAAUGAUUGGGAACGUGAACAUGAGUCACAAAGAAGAUGAGAGAGAAUGUGUGAGUGAUAGAAGGGAAGAAGAAAAUUUUAUAUAGCUUUAAAAUUGAGCUAAUGAAUAAUAAUAAUAAUAAUAAUAAUAAUAACAACAACGACAAUUAUUAUUACUAUUAUUGCAUAGAAUAGGAGAGACCAUGAAAUAUAGAUAAAUUUAUUUAGUUGUGGUUGCCAUUUUGAGUACCACCGUAAACUUUGGAUAUUGCAGGCAAGGUGGUUAAUAGAAUUAAGAUUUUAUUAUAUGUAGGUAAAUAUUUUCACCGAUUUUAAUAUUUAGAUGUUUUCUUUUAUUAUUAUUAUUAUUUAGUAUGAGUGAUCAUGUGAGUUUUUUUCUUUCUUUCUUUUUUCUAACGAAAUAUAUUGAAGAUUUUAACUAAAGAUGAAAGAAUGUGUGUAUACUAAAAAUAAGUGAGACGAUCAAUAAUAUCUGAAAGUAAUUAACUGAGAGAAUAGCUAAAGAAACAGACAAAACAAAUAAUACAGAAGACUUUGUUAGCCUAAUUUGACGAAUACCACCUAUAUCUGGAAGCUUCUUAGCUCAUAUAAGAAAUAUUAUUAUAUAAGAUUUAAAUGAGCAAGGAAAACACUUUUAAGUUAUUACAAAAACUUAAUUAAAGACCGACUUUCAUUGAAUUUGUGUUUGAAUCUUUUUGAAGAUAAACUCAAACUCCCUUGAAUUCAUUCACCACAGUUCAACUAUUUCAGUCUUCUUUCAUAUUUCUUAUCAACAGGUGCAGCGUAAAAACCACUUGCAGAACUUCAAUAAUAUUCCAUCUUCAUAUAAAGAAUGCAAUUCGACAACCUUCACAAACAAUAAUUUGAUCUUCGAAAGAGAACUUCUUUGAAAUCAAUUUUCUAUCAAUUUGCACGUCGAACUAAGCCAAUAUAGUUUAAUUAUUUAAAGAUCGAUAUAAUAUAUUUCCGGUAACUUCUUUAUGGAGAGAUAUAGAUAAAAGAUUCAUGUUAGGAAAGAAAAAUAUUUUAUCUUUAAAUAAUAUCCUAAUCUUUAAAUAAGGAAGUUAAUAAUAAAAAGAAAUUUAUUGGUGUUGUUGACAAAAAUAUCAACAUAUACGUUAACUAUUAAAAUUUAUGUUCAAGUUAUGGAAAUAAAAGCGUUAAUUACAGGAAAUGAAAAUAUGUUUGGUGAUAUUAUAAAAUUAAAAUUUGCAAAAGCAAAUGUUUGAAAUAACAUACUAAAACAAACCCAAACAUGGGGAAAAGAAAAACUACAGAACCCACUCCUUCCAUUCCCCAUCUAUUUAUUUCUCAAACUUCUACCGUUCACACAUUUAACCAAACACACAAACUUUAAACCUUUUUAUUAUUUCAUCCCAUUCUACACCUUCUCUUAGGGUUUUGCACCCUCUACCACUUCACCAGCGUAGCUGCAGCACUUGUGCCCACAUCGACCAUAUCGGCAACCUCUGCCGUAGCCACCACGGCCAC